CUGCCUCUUACUGUGUGAUAUGGGAAAAGUCACGUCUGCCUGGGCUUGGUGCCCUCGUUGGUGAAAUGUAAAACCCCGUUCCUUGGACUAGAACCCAAUUUCCUUCCUGCCCUCAAUUCUCAGAUUCUACCUGGACCCUGACGAGAAAGAACAGUAAUGCCUGGUGUUACCCGGGAGUAAGGACCUGCUUUUCGGUUCUGGCCCAGGACUAUAUUUUGCGUAAAAAAGAAAACUGGCCUGGAAGCAGGAAGAAUGGGUCUGGCCCCACCUUGGACCCUUAUUCAGCAUGAACUUGGACAAACCAUUUUCAUUUCAUUUCUUUCCGCAACAGAAAAAUCAGAGUAUUGAUCUUAAAAUAUUUUGUGGCUAUUUUAAACAACUUUGUUGUUUUGCAGGAGAAAUCUUUUACCAAUGUUGGGACAAAAAUUUAAAAACUUGAAGCAGUAGAAAAGGCUCCUGAGUCUAUCCCUGUGACUAGGGAGGCGUCUAGUUUUGCUUGGGCCUCUAUCUGUAACACGGGAAUAAGAACUCCUGCUCUUACGAUCUCAUAGUUAAUUGGGAGAAAUAAGACAAGAUAUGUGGAAAGAUUUUGUAAACUCUAAACUGAGGUACAAAUGUACGGAAUCAUACUCAGGCCUGUUGUCAACCCCUUCAUCACCUCUUCUGGUCUAGAAAUCAAGUCUUCCCAAAGGCAUUCCCAGAGCUCAUGGCUAUGGAAGGAAAAGAUGUCAUUUUCUCUCCAACCCAAAGCACGGUCUGGGGCUUCUAACCUCGGAAACCAGAGGAAGCUUCUUCCAGGUCUGUAGAUGGGGCCGGGGCCGCCAUGGUUAAGGACACCCGGGGAUGGAAGCUGGAGCCCCUGCUGCCCCCACACGUACCCAUGCAAGGGUGAAUGAACAGUGCAGAAAAUGAGACCGUCUGGAGGAGGAGGAGCAUUCUCUGGGCUGGGACACAUGAACAGACUUUCCAAAAGAAGAUGUGGCUGUGUUUCCUGACCCCUCACUUCUGAGGGACUGUGGCUUUGACCAGCUCAGAUCAUCUGGGGAAGAGUCUCACCAAGCAAUGGCAACCCAGGAGCCAGAAAAAAGACUUCCAUGCUGUUCUGCCAUCUUGACUCUUCCCCUCCACAUUGAGGU